ACGGGAGGCAGCAGUGAGGAAUAUUGGUCAAUGGACGGAAGUCUGAACCAGCCAAGUAGCGUGCAGGAUGACGGCCCUAUGGGUUGUAAACUGCUCUUAUACGGGGAUAAAGUGAGCCACGUGUGGCUUAUUGCAGGUACCGCAUGAAUAAGGACCGGCUAAUUCCGUGCCAGCAGCCGCGGUAAUACGGAAGGUCCGGGCGUUAUCCGGAUUUAUUGGGUUUAAAGGGAGCGUAGGCCGUCUGAUAAGCGUGUUGUGAAAUGUCGGGGCUCAACCUGGGCAUUGCAGCGCGAACUGUCAGACUUGAGUGCGCGGGAAGUAGGCGGAAUUCGUCGUGUAGCGGUGAAAUGCUUAGAUAUGACGAAGAACUCCGAUUGCGAAGGCAGCCUGCUGUAGCGCAACUGACGCUGAAGCUCGAAAGCGUGGGUAUCGAACAGGAUUAGAUACCCUGGUAGUCCCCGCGGUAAACGAUGGAUGCUCGCUGUUUGCGUCUGACGUAAGCGGCCAAGCGAAAGCGUUAAGCAUCCCACCUGGGGAGUACGCCGGCAACGGUGCAACUCAAAUGAAUUGACGGA
rnacentral:rRNA from 1 species